UCUCCUCCUUGCAGGUAAAUGAGAGCUGGAACUCAGCCUUGGCUCACAGCAGAAAACAAUUCUAACCCAGGGCGCAUCCACAUUCGUGGGGAAAUGUUCAAGUGCUUGAUCAUAGAUGCAGGAAAAAAAAGUCUGAUUUGUUGGCAUCAGACCUAGUCUUUAGAUGGGAAAACUAAUAAACAUCAACCUUGAAGACAAGAGACAAACAUUUCUUCUCCAGAAAUAUACUGACAGUGACCUUAUAGUCUUCAAACAUUUGGGCCUUUAAAAUAAACAGACUUUUGUAAAAUAUCUAAUUAACAGCUAAAAGUUGUAAGUGAAGGCUGGAAUAUUGAGAAGAUAAAUAAUUGGAUUUCAUUUAUCUUCAAUGCUCUAAAUUUUUGCUUCUUCCACCUUUGCCUAUAGGAUGAACACAUCCUGAGAAUGCAGGCCCAGGCAGAACCAGGGACAACACAACUAGCAGACGAAGUUGAAUAAUGACUCUCACCCAGACCUCCCUUCACUUUGGUGCCCAGAAUUUGGUCUUGUAAAAGAUUCAGACAUCCAUGCUUCUCUAAUUAGAAUAGGCUUUACUUCUAUAGAUAAGCACAGGUAAACCAGGAGAUUAGAAUCUAUACAAUAUACCUAGAACAUCUUUUUAGAGCAAGUUUCACUUGAAGAUUUAGGGGAAGGGGUGUUAAGAAAUGUUCUUUCACUUUAAGAGCAAGUCCAGUGUUUUUAAUAUUGAAGUAUGGAUGACUUACAGGACUAUGCCUAAUUUGCAGGAAAUUUGAAUAUAAAACACAAGACUUUUUGGUAUUUUACUUUAUGAUGGGCUUUUGGGGUCCUCAUCUGUAAUCUUUCUGCAAUACCAGCACAACCUUUCCAUUUCAGUCGAGAAGUCUGGUCCACGAUGUCCUAGGUAGACCGUGAAGCUCUGAAGAACAUGUGCCUUGCACUUGCUCCUGGUUCAAUUUGUCCAUUGCUCAUCAUAAAUCUCAGAGACACCGGAGAGAACCAAGCAUCACCAACAGUGACUGAUAUGGUUUGGCUGUGUCCCCACCCAAAUCUCAUCUUGAAUUGUAAUCCCCAUAAUCCCCCCGAGUCGUGGGAGAGACCUGCUGGGAGGUAAUUGAAUCAUGGGGGUGGUUUCCCCUAUGCUGUUCUCGUGAUAGUGACAGAGUUCUCACAAGACCUGAUGGUUUUAUAAGCGUCUGGCAUUUCCCCUGCUGGCACUCUUUCUCUCCUGCUGCUCUGUGAAGAGGUGCCUCCUAUCAUGAUUGUAAGUUUCCUGAGGCCUCUCUACUCAGGCAUAACUGUGUCAAUUAACCUCUUUUCUUUAUAAAUUACCAGACUUGGGUAUUUCUUCAUAGCAGCAUGAGAACAUAUGAAUACAAUGACCAGUUAUGGAUGAGAAGUGCCCAACUGCACAAUCUUAUCGAUUUCAUACCACCAGGUCUCACAGAAAUGGUACGGAGAUGUCUCAAGCAAGAUCAAAUCAGAAAAAUCAUGACUCCAUGAGGAGCCAGGCACAGUGACUCCCACCUGCAAUCCCAGCUACUCAGGAGGCUGAGGCAGGAGAAUCACUUGAUCCCUAGGAUUUGAAGCUGCAGUGAGUUAUGAUCAUACCACUGCACUCCAACCUGGGUGAUAGAGGGAGACUCUAUCUCUUAAAAAAUAUAUAUCCAUAAGGGUAGAGGUCUUUAUUUUGUUCAUGAACUUAUCCACCAAGCACAUAAAACAGUUCAUGCUCUGUAAACAUAUGUCGAAAAUUAAUUCUAUAUGCUACUUCCCCAAACAUUAUUUUCUAAUUAUCUUCCCAAAUGGCUAGUUAGAUGAAAAUCAGUUGUCUCUUGUACCAUUCUACAUUCAGAAGGAAUGAAAGGUAUGCUAUAAGGAAAGGGGAGUGUGAGUAACUAAUUUGAAGGAAAAAAGUAACCAAGGUUUUCAGUGUUUGUGGAUGGAUAUAUAGACAUCUGUCCCUCUUUGAGUCAUUGGGAAUUUGACAUCGUUUCCCAGAGGGGGCUUAGUUGAGAGUGAGCUGGCCAAGAUUCAAUCAGGGUAAGCCUGAAGCUGUGUGCUUGAACUGGGGAAACGCUUCAGGAGUCACAGGAGCGAUCUCUUCCAUGUGCGGAUGGACCUGUCCACAACACUCUUGAAGAUGCCAAAGGAUUCUGGUCGGCCAACCAAGCACCAAGUGGUUUGUUUAUGGGGGAUGGCGUGAUCCUGGAGUAAGAAUAAAUAACCAAUCAAUUGAACAGAAUAAAGUAGAAGAUCAGACCCAUAUUUCUAUACACAUUUCUAUACAAAUGUGUACAAAUGUAUACAUUUCUAAACAAAUGUGUUUCUAUACAAAUGAUAGCUACACAUAUAAUAAAAGUUUGAUUUUAACAUUAGAAAGGAAAAUAGAUUCUUUAGUAUAGGGCUCUAUUCCUAACUCACAUCAUAUACCAAAAUAAAUUUCAAAUAGAUUACAGAGUGGCAUACUGAAAAUUACCAAUGAAAGAAUUGAAAGCAAUAUAACUAAAUACCUAUCC
rnacentral:lncRNA from 1 species